rnacentral:lncRNA from 1 species
UUCUCUUCUAACUUCUUAUCUUUCCAAAUCCUUUUCACGGCAACAACAUCGCCUUUACAAUUGACAGGAACACAAUAAACUUUCCCUGAUCCGCCACUUCCAAUCAUAUUACUUUCUGUCAAUCCUGAGAGAAUUUUUGACACACUGAAAUUCAACCUCUGAAAUGAGGUGAGCUGCCAAUAAGAAUCUGAUCCGUUUCUCUUCCAAUAACCUCUGCCCAUGAAGAAUGAUAAGGACAAAGCCAACAAGGACAAAAGUAUGCCGAAAGUUAUGAUCAAUGCAAGAUAUUUAGACGAAAUUUUGCUGGACUUCCGGGGUUCAGAAUUGCAUAUGCUGAGUUUUUCUGAUGAGCUAGUUGCACAUAGACCUUGAUUGUCCAAGAAGCUUCUGUCAUAAGCAGGAUUUUCAAAUUCAAAUGGGAUCUUCCCAGAUAGGUCAUUGGAAGAGAGAUUGAAAUGGUUGAGCUUCAGACGCCCAAGCAGAUCUGGAAUUUGGCCAGAAAGUUGGUUUUCUGAAAGAUCCAGUUCAGUAAGGACUGGUAGAAGACCAAGUUUCUCUGGAAUUGGUCCAGAGAGUUGAUUUCGACUGAAAUUAAGAGUGUUGAGUGAUUUCCAUGAUAUAAUCUCCGAUGGAAGGAAGCCAGUAAGCUGAUUCUGAUCAAGAGAAAGAGUGGUUAAGCUAGGAAGAGCAGUAAGUUCCUGAGGGAUAGUACCGUUAAAAAGGUUAUUACCGGCGUCAAAAACCUUCAAAUUCGUCCAGGAAGACACCCCGGUUGGAAUCUUACCUGAAAACCUAUUAUCUCUGAUUUCCAGCCGCGAAAGAUUCCAAGACAUUUUCUCAGGAAGCUCACCGGUAAAAGAAUUCUUGUUCAUUAGUACCUGACUCAAGUUUGUUGCUGUCCACAUGCCACUAGGAAUGUUCCCAGACAACCCAUUAUCAUAAACCUUGACUAUCACCAAACUAGUGCAAUUUCCAAGAGAGCUUGGUAACUCCCCAGUGAGAUUAUUCUCAUGAGCUACAAGUCCUACCAGCUUACCCAAAUAACACAAAUGGUCUGGCAGUUUACCAGUGAGCCUAUUUCCCGAAACCUCGAACCCUCCAAGCUCUGAAUACCUCCCAAAGUCCGGAGGCAAUGUUCCUGUCAAGUUAUUGUCGUACACUUUGAAAUCUAUGAGAUUUGGUAGACGGCCAAUGCUUGCUGGAAUCUCACUAAAAAAACCAUUAUAAAACAAAGCUAACCCUGUUAACUUGGUCAGCUUUCCAUAAUCUUCUGGUAUUGGCCCUGUUAAACGGUUGUCAGAAAGAUCAAUAACUUUCAAGUUCAAUGCUUCAACCACUUGAGGUAUAUCCCCAGACAGGCGGUUCUUGAAGAGAUAGAUUAUACUCAAAUUCUUCAACAGAAACAAACCACUUGGGAUUGUCCCAUUCAAACGGUUCUUUGCCAAAUCCAAUUCUUCCAGUGCUGCCAUUUCCCCGAGUGUUCCAGGGAGCUGUCCGAUCAAAUUUGAUUCUCGUAUCCAUAAAGUCUUCAAAUUUUUCAACUGGGUGAAAUUUGAAGGCAUUUUCCAUGGCACAAGUUUUAUAUUGCUAGAGAGAUUUAGGUCUUUAAGAUUGGACAAGUUACCUAUUUCUGGUGGGACGGAACCAUUAAACUCGUUCAUAAACAGCUGCAGGUUCCUGAGCUCAUGUAACCGCCCAAUGGCCGCUGGUAUAUCACCAGAAAAGUUGUUACCGGCAAGGCUAAGGUAUCGAAGCCGAGGCAGGCUGUCGAUAUCGUCAGGAAUCUUGCCAACAAAGUAGUUUUGAGAGAGGUCCAAGUACUCUAGCUUUGAACAGUUGUAGAGAGCUUUUGGGAACUCUCCAGGAAAGUAGUUGUAGCUGAGAUCAAUGAGUGUGAGGUUCUUGAGAUCACAAAUGAAGGGUGGAACUGAUAGGGUGAUGUUCGUGUCGACCAGAGACAAUCCGGUGACGGAGUUGUUUGUGCAGUUGAUCUCAGGCCCCCAGGAACAGUGGGAAGUGUUUGAUGUUGAUGGAAUCCAAUGACUGAGGAACGGUGGAGAUUGCAAGUAUGACUUUAGUUUUAGCAGGACAGCUUGUUCUUGGUCUUGCAAUGACUGAGAGUUGGCAUGGCUGAUGAGGAGGAGGAGGAGGAAGAGAAGGAAGCAGAGAUGGGUGUGGAGAGAAGAUGUUUGGGUGAGUUUAGUCAUUUUGUGAUGGAGGGAGGUUCACAAGUUGGUCUGUUCCCGCUGUUUGAACACUCUGGUUUUGAGGACAAGUUAAUUAGAGGAUGCUCAUUUCCUUGAAGGAUGUCGAAAAACUGGAGACUUCAAAGUCAUUUGCUGGACCGAGAAAAAGGUGCUGUCAAUGGAGGAGACCAAGACUCUACCACCAAUUUGUGGAGGAAAAAGGUGUGAACUUAUUAUAUUCCAUUUUUCCGAUUUACAAGAAGCAAGUUAUAUAUGCAUUUCAUUUCCAAUUUUUUGUUUGCUUUAUUUUCUUAUUUUAUAAUAAGUCAAGGAUCUGAGUUGAAGACCAGGAGCCCAAUCAGUUGACAUUAUGUAUACAUAAUGUGUGGAAGUCCGGAUCAGAGAAAACUGUAUUGAAUGGUUGCCAUAACAUAUAUAUACAAGCCAAAAUCCUCCUUCCUUGCCAAAAAUUUGAACUGCAAGAAAUUUUAUUGCUAUAAAACUCACUUCUCUUGUCCAUAUUUUCGACUGAAAACUGGAAUAAUGGACCACACUGCACCAGAAACGUCUGCAGAAGAUGAGGUAAGGUAAUAAAACAAGCCAGGCCAAAGCCAAAUGUGACGUGCGGGAAAGGCAAGAAGGCAAAACUUCAAUUGAAGCUUCACGGAAGGAGGCCAACGGAAAAAUGUGAAGGGUGAACAAAGAACGCCUUUGUUUGAUGGAGACUUUGACCCAACAAAAGUAUAGAGUUUUGGUCCCAGAUGUUCACUCGAAAAUUAUGAAUGGUAAGAGUAAAGGCAGGCUUCACGGAAGGAGGCCAAUGGAAAAAUGUGAAGGGUGAACAAAGAACGCCUUUGUUUGAUGGAGACUUUGACCCAACAAAAGUAUAGAGUUUUGGUCCCAGAUGUUCACUCGAAAAUUAUGAAUGGUAAGAGUAAAGGCAGGUACGUCUGGUUUUUCACUGAUAUAGACAGGAAAGGAAAAAAAUGAAAACAAAAUUCAACCAGAAGGAAGAAUUGCAGAUUGUGACAAAAUGACUUUGAAUGGAAAACAAGGGGAAUAGCAUAGGUGGGUUGUUCUCCUCUCCUGACACUUCACUUUUCUUUGUCAUAGAAGAAGAUGCACAAAAUUUCAGUUCAUGUGGGCUGUUGGUGUAAAUAGAAUCUCUAAUGUAAUAAACCCCACGGUAGUUUAUAAGUCUAUCAAAAUAUAUGGAUUCCAUUGUUUCUAGCAACUGAAACUUUAGAGGAGUGUUAGCAACCUUCUCUCUAACAUUCUCCUUUUCUUGCUUGACAUGUGUCAUUCUUCUUACACUUAAAACAAUGUCAUUAAUAUAUUAUACAAGUUAACUUUUGCUUUCCAAGUUUACCCUUAUUAAAUGUAUUCAAUUUAUACAAAACAAUUUCACAACUUUCUUACCAUCUUAUUAAUUUUUUUCUAACGUCAAUUAUUUUUUUCAAAGAAAAUAUUUGCUUUUAAGAGGAAAUGUCUGGAUUUUAUUUAUUUAUUUUAACACGAGGAAAAAAAAGUCGUUUGUGUUAUAAAAAAAGAAAAAGAAAAGGCAUUUCCUCUUUUUUGAAAAAAAUUGACAUUUUCUUUAAAAAAAUAAUUGACGUUUAAAAAAAAAAAGAUUGUAAGAAAGUUGUGAAAUUAUUUUGGAUAAAUUGAAUACAUUUAAUAAGGGUAAACUUGGAAAGCAAAAGUUAACUUGUAUAAUAUAUUAAUGACAUUGUUUUUAGUGUAAGAAGAAUGACACAUGUCAAGCAAAAAAGAGAGAAGGUCCAAAGGAGAAGGUUAGAGAAAAAGUUGCUAGCAUUUCUCUUGUUGGAAAGAGGCCUUGGGGCUUGAGCUUCCUUUUGUAUAAUAGUAUAGUUCUAGGUAUGCUGGAGUAGUGCGUCAUUCUCUCCUUACGCUCAAGUUUAAAUCCUCAUUUUCAUAUAUUAGAAUAAUUUAGAAGUAAUUUAAACUAUCAUUUGUAUAAAAAUUAGUAUAGCUUUGGAGUAUUCAAAGGGAAAAAGUAUACAAGGCAUACCCCUCAUCUAAAAAAAAAGGAAACAAUAUUUUUUCCUUGUUUUGUUUUGGGUCUAAGAAGGAAGUAACACUUGUGUGAAAUGGGGAUAACACUGCUUUACUAUCCUUGGCCAAUCACGACAUGCCAUGCAAGAUAACUUUUUCACAUGGCAGUCUGUGAUAGGCAUGAGAUAGCAAAACAGUAUUAUCCCCGCAAGUUUUUAUGCUAAGAGGGCCAGUCCUAGCAGAACAAGAUGGCCAUUACCUUGAGUAGUUACAAGUAAAGGAUUAUGAACGGCUAUGGUUGAAAGCUUGGGUAACAAUUAACAGUUGGAGAGAAUAUGUUUCCUUCAUUAUUUACUUGAUCUAAUUUCCAUCAUUAAUUAAAGCAUUGUUUUUCUAAACUAUGGGUAUAAUUGAAAAACUAAACAAAUUAUAUAUAUACUAAAGCCCAAUGCAACCAGAUACUAUUCAUAAGCACUGUUCCUUGAACAGUGAAAUGCCAGAAAAACCCCCGUUUCACUGUUACAAAGCCUUAUAUUUUCCCACAAAUACAGUAAAUUGUCGAUUUUGCCCUUUUAAAUUUUUUUCCUGAUAUACCCUUUUUUCCCUCUCUCUUUGGAUGCUAACUCUCCCCGCUGUUACUUUUCUACAGAGUGAUCGUUUGCUUCCAACCAGCUUGGUUAGGCUGGUUGGGGGGCAGCCAUGGGAUACAUGGCUUCGGUUUUCGGGAUUCGUUUGAGGCGUCGAUUUCCAUUUGGGAUGGCGCUUUGCGAAUCUCACCGUUCGUUUAGUCUUCAUCUCAUCUCAUGUGUCGUUCGUUCAGCCAUUCCAAAGUUCGUCUGAGAGAUUUUCAAUCUGCGAGUUCUUUCAUCCUCUGUCCAACGUUCGUCUAAUAGAUUUUCGAUCUACCAGUUCUUCCAUUGUUUCUCUUCAGGUUUGCAUCCCCUCAACUUUUUAAUGGAUUAAUGAUUUGCUGAUGGGUUUCUGAGCAUACUGUCGAAUCCUUUGAUUCCUUGACCAAAUUGAUUAUGCUGCUGUGGUGAUCUGUUGUAGUCAAUAUUGUUGUUGUGGGAAAGUAAGCAUGCCAAUUUCAACAAUUUGUAAUGAUCUUGCUGCUGUAAUGGGUUGUUAAUUUGUUGUUGCAUUGAUAGGAUUAGAUGAUUACAAUAUCUGAGCAUGUUGGUGAUUACAAUAUCUUGGACAUGGUUUUCUUUUGUUUGUUGUAAAAUAAAACAUAAGCAGAAAGCCAUGUUCAACAAACAUCAAUUUCUAGGGUUAGGGUUUUCGUUUCAUUCUCAGAUGAUUUGAUGGGCAACACGAUUUGUUCAGGAUGACCCUGCAUAUAUAUAUUUGAUUAAUUGAGGGUCGAGAUUAUAAAUGAGAACUCUCAGAUGAGUUUUUGAAGUUCUCCGUUUUUUACUUUACAGGAAAAAAUGGAAAAUUGUUAUUGAUUAUAUUAGUAUAAUUUGUUUAGGCACCGUCUUUCUAAGAUUUUAUUGCUUGCAUAGUUUAUUUUCUAUGUUUUUCUUUUUGAUUCAUUGCAACUGAGGUAUUCGAGCUAUCUCAGCCUUUGAUUGUUGCUUUUGAUAUGUGUGAAUGAUGUGAAAAUUCAUAAAAGCAAUUGUAUUAAUUCAUUAAUCAAUUAUAAUGAAUGAUGUUAAAAAAGCCAAGUAGUUAGUCUUGACCAAAAGUUGAUAUAUUAAAGCUAAUGAACUAAUCAACCCAAAAACUGAAGCAUAAAAGCGUGCUCAGGGACCAAUGUUGCUUUUCAUAUUUGAUUUUCAAGUCUAUUGGUGCUCUGGGACCAAUCCUGCUUCUGAUAUUUUAUUUUCAACUGAUUUGCUUAGAAAAAAUAGAAAACAAGUUUGAUUUUUUGCAAUCUCUGUUCAUAAAUGAGUAAUUGUUGAUGACGCUUCUUUUCUUUUUCUUUCUUUUGGCCUUUUUGGGUUGUUUCUGUGUUUUGUCUGUUUCGUUGCGGAUGCCUUAUCCACCUUUUCAAUAUAUCGUUUCUCUUUAGAAAAGAAAAUCAAUAUUCAAGAUAUCUUUGCUCCAAAAUAAUGUAUGCAUGCAUUAAUUUUGGUAAACUAAAUUGAGUAUAUGCUUAUGGGAUUAAAUAUUUUUCCAUAUUUUUGUUGCACUGUUUCUUUUCUUAUUCUUAUAUGCAGGGAUGAUAAUUUGUUUUCUUUUCUUUUCAGUUUCAAACAGAUUUACAAUUCUUUUCUCUUGCUUAAAUUUGUGAAAUAUAUGUAUAUGGAGAGCCCAUAUUAAGAAAUAGCGGUUACGCAUUAUGUGGCCUUUUUAUUGGGUUUAACGAUGGAGUACAAUGUGUUCAUUUGAUGUUUUUAGCUGAGAUUGUGAUCAAUUUCAUUUUGUGGAUUUUCAGGUUUUGCAAGAUGAUGGUAGUGUAUGAGAGCGUCAAGAGGAGGCUGUGAGUAGAAGGCGGUUCUUUGCAGGCUAGACAAGGUUGAAAAUGGUUUUUAUUUUAUUUAUUUUUCCUAUUUUUGUUAGACCCUUUCUGUUCACUUAUUCUCCCCGAAAUAUUAUGCCUAAAGUAGUUAAAUAAAUUAUCACAACUAUUCAAAAGUAUAUAUAUGUUUGGUAUCAUCUCAUGUUGCGUACAAAUUGAGCAAUGAAAAGAUGAAAGAUCUGUUACAGAGAAACAGGUGGUGCAAAUGUUACAUUUGUAUUUUUUUUGGUUUCGUUCUUUUGUUGUACUAAUGCCUCAUUGCCUUUUUUUUUUCCUUCGAUGAUGUGUCUCUGGAACCAGCAAAAGUUCCCUCUUUGGACUUGCUCCACUUGAAGCAGUGCUAUUUAAUAUUGAUAGAACUCCAUGUGAUUUAGAUCCUAUUCAUUUCAAUGCCUUCCACAAAAUGCUUCUAUAGGUAAAGUGAUUGUUUUGUUUCCUACUAUUCUGUCAGAAGGAAAAUAUGCAGGAUUUAUUUGGUCAUAAUUUGACAUUUUUCUUGGGUUUUAUGGACUACAAUGUGUUCAUUAGAAAGCAUUAGUUCAUUUGGUGUUUUUAGUUGAGGUUGUCGUGAUUUUCAUUUAUUUUCUUUUUGUGGCUUUUCAGUUUUUGCAAGAUGUUAACAGUGUACAAGAGAAUCCAGAAGAGGCUAUGAGUAGAAGGAGGUUCUUUGCAGGUUAGACAAGAUUGAAUAUAUAUAUAUAUAUAUUUCCUGUUUUUGUUCGAAACUUUUUGUUUACUUAUUGUCCCAGAAUAUUAUGCUCAAAGUAGUUAAAUUUCUGUCCAAAAUGUUUUAUUUGUGUUUCUUGAUUUGAAUGAAAGUUUGGUAUUUCAUCCUUUUGAAGGAAUUUUCUUUGAAAUUUGGUCAUAGCCAACUGCUAUUAUACCAUUUUUAAUAAUUUGUUACAAACUUGAUUUUAACCUAUGUAUUUGCUUGAACAUUAAUUUCUCACAGUUAACACAAGUCUUAUUGAUAAACUCUUAUCAUUAAUUCUGCAAUCUACCAUAUAGGCUAAUCACAUCAUUUUAUAUUUCUUGAGUUGUAGGUAUUGUGCUACAAAUUUCAAGUGGAACCAAGUGUUAUUUUACUAAGAUUUGUAGGUGUUGUGACAUAAAUGGCAAUACAGUUUAUUUUUGUACUAUAUCAGCUUACUUCCUCAUUGGAUUAAACUUAGUCUAUAAAUGGCAAUAUAUGUAUAAGUUUUGACCAUAGGUGUCUAUAGAUUUUCUAUGCUUCUGUACAACAAACUUGCGCAAGGUUUAUGGGUAUUUGGUUUGAUUUUAUUAAAGUUUGGAUCUUUUGGUUGCAUUAUGUUAUAGGUAUUUAAUAAUUUGUGCAAUGAAUGAAAUUAUACUUUUGUCCACCAGAUUUGUACAAUGCUUGGCGUAUUUAAAUUGUAGUUUAUGCAAUUGAUUUUUUUGCCUAUUUAAUAAAUUGUCACAGUUCUAAAUUUGUUAUCAAUUAAUUAAAUAAAUUGAGCUUAUACCUUUGUCCAUCAGAUUAAUAGAAUGCUUGAUGUAUCUAAAUUGUUGUUUGUCAUGUUGAUUUUUUAACUUAAUUCAUUGAUAAUUGUUAUUGCCUUCAUUCAACAGAAACCACUACUACAGUAGAGCCAACAAGAGAUAGAUCCCUUUUCAACAGACAUCAAGGCAGAAAAAUCCCCUUCCUCCACCAGAAGCAUAUAUGUAAAGACAUGUCCAAACUUUCUUGAACAAAGAGCAGCUCAACUGUUGAUAUUUUUAUUGUUGCUUGGUUUAAUAAAAUAUGAUCAAUAUUUUAAGAUAACAAGCAUCAUAUAAAACAUGUUAUUAGUUUUUAUCUUUUAACUUAAACUUGCUACAUAUUUUCAUAACUUUGUACACAUUUCAGACAGUUUUAAAACCCGCAGCAUUGUGCGGGCACCUUUGCUAGUUUUAUUUCUAAUUCCUCUUGUUGAACUCAACCAAGCCUAUCAAACAUUUGUUGCCAAACUACCAUCACCGUCUUCCAGUAUCUGGUCACGCUUCGAAUUCUUGAGCAGAGGAGCACCAACAUAAUCAGUCUUUUCUCUGUGAACUCCUGGAUGGCCGCAUCGGAGCAAGAUUUGCGUAACGUCCUUCAUGGAAGGCCUAGCAGAAGGAAGUUUCUCGGUGCAAUAGAUGCCAAGUCUGAAAACGGAGCACAUUUCAUCCAAGUACGAAGGUUCUUUGAUGUCCUUGUCCAAAGCAUCGGCAAGAGGGUUGUCUUCUUGAACAUGGCGCCAUGCCCAUUCGGCAAGAGCAGUGUGUUCGUCACCAUUAUUAGCUUCCUUUCCGGUGGUCAACUCCAGAAGGACGACCCCAAAACUAUAUACAUCAAUCUUCUCAUUCACUCGUAUUCUAUGAGCACAUUCUGCAUUCAAGUGAAAAUAAAAUAAAAUAAAACCUGUGAGAUUGCUAAUAGAAACAGAGGAAAAAUAACACAUAUUUCUUUAGGAACGAACUUUAACAUUUGUAGGGUGUAAGGUUUACCUGGAGCAAUGUAGCCAAAGGAGCCAGCAAAAGCCGACAUUGUAGCAAGUUCUCCUUGCUUGACCAACAUCUUGGCUAGACCAAAAUCUGCUAUUUUUGCAUUAAAAUCAGAGUCUAACAAGAUGUUACUCGAUUUCACGUCUCGAUGCACAACGGGUGGCACACAGUCAUGAUGCAUAUAACAGAGGCCCUGAGCAGCCCCCACUGCAAUAUGCAACCUCUUAGGCCAGUCCAGCGCAACAUGGUGAACUGACCUAGAGAGAUUGGAUGGCCUGUUUCUCUUGUGCAGCCAUCGAUCCAGACUUCGAUUCUCCGAGUACUCAUAGACAAGUAGCUUUGAAUUGUCCUUGGAUAUACAGCACAUCAGCUUCACUAUGUUGGCAUGUCGAAUGGAACUCAAUAUCUUGACUUCUGCAAGAAAUUCUUUUUCAAGCUUCUCUUCUAACUUCUUAUCUUUCCAAAUCUUUUUCACGGCAACAACAUCGCCUGUACGAUUGACAGGAACACAAUAAACUUUUCCUGAUCCGCCACUUCCAAUCAAAUUACUUUCCGUCAAUCCUGAGAGAAUUUUUGACACACUGAAAUUCAACCUCUGAAAUGCGGUGAGCUUCCAACCAGAACCCGAUCUGUUUCUCUUCCAAUAACUUCUGACCAUGAAGAAUGAUAAGGACAAAGCCAACAAGGACAAAAGUAUGCCGAAAGUUAAGAUCAAUGCAAGAUAUGUAGACCAAAUUUUGCUGGACUUUCGAGGUUGAGAAUUACAUAUGCUGAGUUUUGCUGAGGGGCUAGUUGCACAGAGACCUUGAUUGUCCAAGAAGCUUCCGUCAUAAGCAGGAUUUUCAAAUUCAAUUGGGAUCUUCCCAGACAGGUGAUUGGAAGAGAGAUUGAAGUUGCUGAGCUUCAGAUGCCCAAGUUGAGCUGGAAUUUGGCCAGAAAGUUGGUUUUCUGAAAGGUCCAGUGCAGUAAGGACUGGUAGAAGACCAAGUCCCGCUGGAAUUGGUCCAGAGAGUUUAUUUCGACUGAAAUUAAGAAAGUUGAGUGAUUUCCAUGACAUAAUCUCUGAUGGAAGGAAGCCAGUAAGCUGAUUCUGAUCAAGAGAAAGAGUGAUUAAGCUCGGAAGAGCAGUAAGUUCCUGAGGGAUAGUACCGUUAAAAAGGUUAUUACCGGCGUCAAAAACCUUCAAGUUCCAGGAUGACAUCCCGGUUGGAAUGUUACCUGAAAAUCUGUUAUCUCUGAUUUCCAGCCGUGUAAGACUCCGAGAUAUUUUCUCAGGAAGCUCACCGGUAAGAGAGUUGUUGCUCAUCAUUACCUGAUCCAAGUUUGGUGCUGUCCACAUGCCACUAGGAAUGUUCCCAGACAAUCCAUUAUCAUAAACCUUCACUUCUGUUAAACUAGUGCAAUUUCCAAGAGAGCUUGGUAACUCCCCAGUGAGAUUGUUCUCAUAAGCUACAAGUGUUGACAGCUUACCCCGAUAGCACAAAUGGUCUGGCAGUUUGCCAGUGAGCCUAUUCCCCGAAACCUCGAACCCUUCAAGCUCUGAAUACCUUCCAAAGUCUGGAGGCAAUGUUCCAGACAAAUUAUUGAUGAACACUCUGAACUGUUUGAGAUUUGGUAGACGGCCAAUGCUUGCUGGAACCGCACCAGAAAAACCAUUUAAAAACAAAGCUAACCAUGUUAAUUUGGUAAGGUUUCCAUAAUCUUGUGGUAUUGGGCCUGUUAAAUGGUUUGUAGAAAUAUCAAUGACAGUCAAGUUCAAUGCUUCAACCACUUGAGGUACAUACCCAGACAGGCUGUUGUUGUAGAGAUAGAUUAUACUCAACUUCUUCAACAGAAACAAAACACUUGGGAUUGUCCCAUUUAAACUGUUGGUUGCCAAAUCCAAUUCUUCCAGUGCUGCCAUUUCUCCAAGUGUUCCGGGGAGUUCUCCAAUCAAAUUCGAUCCGCGUAUAUACAAAGUCUUCAAGUUUUUCAACUUGGUGAAAUUGGAAGGUAGAUUCCAUGGCACAAGUUUUGUAUUGAAAGAGAGACUUAGGUGUUUAAGAUUGGACAAGUUACCUAUUUCUGGUGGCACGGAACCAUUAAAGUUGUUCAUAUACAGCUGCAGGUUCCUGAGCUCUUGUAACCGCCCAAUAGCCGCCGGUAUGUCACCAGAAAAGUAGUUAGCGCUAAGGUCAAGGUAUUGAAGCCGAUGCAAGCUAUCGAUAUCGUCAGGAAUCUUGCCAUCAAAGGAAUUUUGAGAGAGGUUCAAGUACUGUAGCUUUGAACAGUUGUAGAAAGCUUUUGGGAACUCUCCAGCAAAGUUGUUGUAGCUGAGAUCAAUGAGUGUGAGGUUCUUGAGAUCACAAAUGAAAGGUGGAACUGGUAGGGUGAUGUUCGUGUGGACCAGAGACAAUCCGGUGACGGAGUUGUUUGUGCAGGUGAUCUCAGGCUGCCAGGAACAGUGGGAAGUGUUUGAUGUUGAUGGAAUCCAAUGACUGAGGAACGGUGGAGAUUGCAAGUAUGACUUUAUUUUUAGCAGAACAGCUUGUUCUUGGUCUUGCAAUGACUGAGAGUUGGCAUGGCUGAUGAGGAGGAGGGGGAGGAAGAGAAGGAAGCAGAGAUGGGUGUGGAGAGAAGAUGUUAGGGUAGGUUCAGUCAUUUGGUGAUGGAGGUUCAGAAGUUGGUUUGUUCCCGCGGCAUGAACUCUGGUUUUGAUGACAAGACAAGUAAGUUAAGGGAAGUUGAUUUCCUUGUAGUGUUGGAAAGUGGAAACUUCAAAACCAUUUGCAGGGCCACAAACGAAUGCAAACUUUUGGCAAUUUGAGUGGAGGACCUGGAAAAUGAUGGUCAACGGAGACCAUUUAGCCUACCACCAAUUAGUGGAGGACCUGGAAAAUUAUGGCAAUUUGAGUGGAGGACCUGGAUUGUUCUUAUCAGUUAGCUUAGCUGUUAACUUAUUAUAUUCGAAGGUUUGUUCACAAGAAACAAAGUUAUAUCAGGAGCCCAACCAAUUGACUUUUUGUUUUGUUUUGAUCAAAUGUGGGUCAGGGGUUCGAACUUGGUACCUCAUCCAACGUGGGGAAGAGAAGUAGCACUAGACCAAGAGCUACUUGAUACCAGUUGAUAUUCUAUAUAUGUUAUGGUUAUGGCAGCUAAAAUCCUCUCCUUCCUUCCUUGCCAAAGUUUUAAACUGCAAGAAAUUAUAUUGUUAAAGCCACAAAUGUCUGCAGAAGAUAAGGCAAGUUUUCGAAUAAAACAAGGCAGGCUGAAAGCCAAACGUGACGUACGUGAAGGGCAAGACGGCAUUGAAAGUUCCUUCCUGGAAUGUCACGUGUGAACAGAGAACGCCAUUGUUGAAUGAAGACUUGAUUUAUUGCUUUUUAAUUUUAAUGGGAGACUUUGAUCCCAUAUUGUUAUUAUUUUCCACUGAUACAGACGGGAGGAGAAAAAUGAAAAAAAAAAUUCCACUGGAAUGAAAAGUUGCAGAGGUGUGACGAAAUGGCAUUAAUUGGAAAACAAGCAAGAACCUAGGUGGGUGGGUUGUUGUCCUAACACACUCACGUUUGUUUGUUUCAGUUCUAGAAGAUGCACAAAAUUUCAAUUCAUGUGGGCUUUGAACUUUGGAGAAAAGUUGAGUCAUGAUAUCAAUGGGUUUUGGUGGAAAUAGAUUUGUAGUCUGUCAAAUAUAUGGACUGCAUUAUUUCUAAAAGCUGAUAGUGAAAAGCAGUAUGCAUCCAGAUGCAGUGCAGGGCCAACAACCAAGAUGCUGGAAAAAAGAAAUGCAAGUUUUCUGUUGACCAAUCUUGGCCUCUCUUCUUCUACUCAAACUUUAUGUGUAUCAUGUGAACUUUUGACUCAAAAACCAAGCGUCAAGGACCUUGCUGAUAACUUAAUGAAAUCACAAAUUUCUUUAGAUAUUAAUUAGAUAUUAUCACGUUCGCACGUGCAGGUGCAAACUGUAUGAAGUUAGUUAUUUACCCCAAAAGAAUUCAGAAAAAUUAUUUUCAUAUUGUAUGAAGUUUGUUGACUCAAAAAAGUCACCACUCACCACUCACCACUCACCUACAGGAAGCCCACGAAAUUAGUUUGGGCCUUGACUGAUUGAAUUGACUGCUUAGGGCCCUCAGUUUUCUACUUUGUUUUUGUUUUUGGUUUUUAAUGUAAGAGAGAGUCUAAGCCCAGUUUGGUCUGGUCCGUUAUUUUCUCUCUUGAUUAAAGUCCGUUCGGCUUGGCCCAAGCCUAAUAAAUUUUGGACCGAAUUGGCCUGGCCCAUUGACUAGGCUUAGCUACAAGGGGGAGAGGUUUCUCUUACACAUACAUUACGUAUCAAGGUGUCAUGAGAGUUCAAACUAAGACCACUAGUUAGCAAGUGAAUGCCCUUUUCCACUUGGCUAGACCCCGUUGGCUCCUACUUUGUUUUAUUAUUACUGAGUUAAAAUUAAAAUAGAGAAUCCCCUAAUAUAAAUUGAAUUUCCUUAUGCUUAAAGGACUAUGUUUGGUCAGACCGAAACAAAAAGGACUGGAAAUCUCUACAAAUGAUAAAAUAGAGAAAAGGGCACUUGUUUUCACAUCCCGCAUCAAUUAGUAUCGCACCGUUGAGUAGCUACUUAUCAGAUUGGCAAAAUCCUUGAACGGCUAUAAUCUAAUGCUUGGCUAACAAGUAAAGGAUUAUGAACGGCUAUGGUUACGUGCGAGUUUAAUGAGAUUAGGAUUCGUUUUUAGUUUCGUUCUAUGUAUUUUAUUUUCAAUUUCACGUUUGUCCCAGUGAGAUUAGGAUUUCCUUAUUCUGAAAGGAUAGGAUUUUGGUCUGAAUUGUUUAUAAAUACAAGUCCACUUGUUCUCACACUUGGCAUAGCAAGAAAAGAAACCCAGUAGAGUUACCUCAAUCAAAGACGAUCCAUCAAUAUCACUAAUCUUCGUCUUCUUUUUUGACAGUGCAAGCAAACUUGUUGAAGAUGGACUUCGAGCAGUUUUAUCGUUGUUACUCUGUCUCCUCAAUUGGCAAGCCACAUGCGGAAAACGGUGAUAAAAUUAUAAUGCCGCCGUCGGCUCUCCAUCGCCUUGUUUGGGGUCCACAGGUGGCCUACCCUAUGCUGUUUCAGCUCAACAAUCCCAAUUCUGAAUCUGGACGAGUUACUCAUUGCGGGGUCUUGGAAUUUGUUGCCGAUGAGGGCUUUGUAUUUUUACCAUCUUGGAUGAUGCACAACCUGCUUUUACAAGAGGGUAACCUUGUUCAUGUCAAAAGCCAAAGCCUUGGGAAGGGAACAUAUGUCAAACUGCAACCUCACACCAAGGACUUUCUUGAUAUCUCAAACCCUAAAGCCGCUCUGGAGACGGCGUUGAGGAGCUACUCUUGUUUAACCAUUGGUGACACUAUCAUGCUUCCUUAUAACAGUAAGAAGUAUUACAUCAACAUAAUUGAAACAAAGCCCUCCUCUGCAAUCUGUAUAGUUGAUACCGACUGCGAGGUUGAUUUUGCCCCUCCUCUUGAUUAUGUGGAGCCUGAAAAGAAGCCAGCACCAUCCACUCUGCCAACGAAGAGACCACAAGAAGUUGAAGAAGAUGAACAAGAGACACCUGAAAAGAUAGCAAAGUUCAGUCCCUUUACUGGUUCAGCCAGACGAUUGGAUGGAGAACCGGUCUUGACACAAUCCGUUGCACCUGCAGUUCCCUCUCCUCCGGAACUCAGGCAGCGCCAACUGGAGAGUGAAAAUGGAACCAACAAAAAGGGUUCUAAGUCAUCAGCUUCUGCUUCACUUCAACAUUCUGGAAAGCUUGUGUUUGGUUCAAAUGUGAACCGGCCUGUGAAUGCAAUCCCAAAAGUUGCCCCAAACAACCGCAGCAGGCAAGAGCCCCCUCACAAGGCAGAAGAGCCAAAGUUGCAAGCAUUCACAGGGAAGAAGUAUACCCUGAAAGGGUGAAGUUAGGGCAUAUCGAUCCUUCAUCUAAAACAUAUGAAUUAAACGCUUAGCUAAUAUGUAAAGGGUUAGGAACGGCUAUGGUUGAAAACUUGGAUAAUAAGUAACACCCAGAGUGGGAGAAUCUGUUUCCUUUAUUAUUUGCUUGUUCUGAAUACCAUCAAUUAAAUUUUGAAGCAAUUGGAAUUGUUAUCUUUUCUACUCCUUGUUCUCUGAUUCUUCCUUUUGUAAUUUUCAUACAUGAUUGGUGCCAUUAAAAUAACAACUCAAUGUACGUAAUAAAUAUCUUUCAUACAUACAUUACACAUAAUUGGUAUUGUUUGCUUGUUAAGCUCAUUUAUCCUGGAUUGGAUUGCGUAAUAAAAUCAGGGAUGUAAACUGUGAGUAGUUUACUUUUAUUGCUUGCACUCUCAGGGAAUUAAGUUGCUUGCAUCUCUAAAUCUUCUCAAUGGUGGGAUGACUUUUGUUGAGCAUCGGAGCAAGAUAUGCAGAACCUGCUUCACUAAUUUUCUCUAAGACUGUUAUCAGAUAUACAAGCUGUAGCAUUACAUUGCAAUCACUAAUCAAGAUCAAUGCACAAUUCUGAGUUUUCUGUUCUCUGCUUUCUUCCUUAUUCUUCUCUAAAUUCCUCUACUGUCAUCAACAACAUCGCCUGUACGAUUGACAGGAACACAAUAAACUUUUCCUGAGCCGCCACUUCCAAUCAUAAUACUUUUUGAAACUCUGAAAUUCAACCUCUGAAAUAAGGUGAGCUUCCAAUCAGAAUCCGAUCUGUUUCUCUUCCAAUAAGCUCUGACCAUGAAGAAUGAUAAGGACAAAGCCAACAAGGACAAAAGUAUGCCCAAAGUUAAGAUCAAUGCAAGAUAUGUAGACCAAAUUUUGCUGGAAUUUCGAGGUUGAAAAUUACAUAUGCUGAGUUUUGCUGAGGGCCUAGCUGCACAGAGACCUUGAUUGUCCAAGAAGCUUCUGUCAUAAGCAGGAUUUUCAAAUUCAAUUGGGAUCUUCCCAGAUAGGUGAUUGGAAGAAAGAUUGAAGUUGCUGAGCUUCAGAUUCCCAAGUUGAGCUGGAAUUUGGCCAGAAAAUUGGUUUUCUGAAAGGUCCAGUUCAGUAAUGACUGGUAGAAGACCAAGUCCUGCUGGAAUUGGUCCAGAGAGUUGAUUUCGACUCAAAUUAAGAGCGUUGAGUGAUUUCCAUGAUAUAAUCUCUGAUGGAAGGAAGCCAGUAAGCUGAUUCUGAUCAAGAGAAAGAGUGAUUAAGCUAGGAAGAGUAGUAAGUUUCUGAGGGAUAGUACCGUUAAAAAGGUUAUUACCGGCGUCAAAAACCUUCAAGUUCCAGGAUGACACCCCGGUUGGAAUGUUACCUGAAAAUCUGUUAUCUCUUAUUUCCAGCCGUGUAAGAUUCCGAGACAUUUUCUCAGGAAGCUCACCGGUAAGAGAGUUGUUGCUCAUCAGCACGUGAAUCAAGUUUGGUGCUGUCCACAUGCCACUAGGAAUGUUCCCAGACAAUCCAUUACCAUAAACCUUCACUUCUGUUAAACUAGUGCAAUUUCCAAGAGAGCUUGGUAACUCCCCAGUGAGAUUGUUCUCAUAAGCUACAAGUGUUGACAGCUUACCCCAAUAGCACAAAUGGUCUGGCAGUUUGCCAGUGAGCCUAUUCCCCGAAACCUCGAACCCUUCAAGCUCUGAAUACCUUCCAAAGUCUGGAGGCAAUGUUCCAGACAAAUUAUUGAUGAACACUCUGAACUGUUUGAGAUUUGGUAAACGGCCAAUGCUUGCUGGAACAGCACCAGAAAAACCAUUUAAAAACAAAGCUAACCAUGUUAAUUUGGUAAGGUUUCCAUAAUCUUGUGGUAUUGGGCCUGUUAAAUAGUUUGUAGAAAUAUCAAUGACAGUCAAGUUCAAUGCUUCAACCACUUGAGGUACAUCCCCAGACAGGCUGUUGUUGUAGAGAUAGAUUAUACUCAAAUUCUUCAACAGAAACAAAACACUUGGGAUUGUCCCAUUUAAACUGUUGUAUGCCAAAUCCAAUUCUUCCAGUGCUGCCAUUUCUCCAAGUGUUCCGGGGAGUUCUCCAAUCAAAUUCGAUCCGCGUAUAUACAAAUUCUUCAAGUUUUUCAACUUGGUGAAAUUGGAAGGCAGAUUCCAUGGCACAAGUUUUGUAUUGAAAGAGAGACUUAGGUGUUUAAGAUUGGACAAGUUACCUAUUUCUGGUGGCACGGAACCAUUAAAGUUGUUCAUAUACAGCUGCAGGUUCCUGAGCUCUUGUAACCGCCCAAUAGCCGCCGGUAUGUCACCAGAAAAGUAGUUAGCGCUAAGGUCAAGGUAUUGAAGCCUAGGCAAGCUGUCGAUAUUGUCAGGAAUCUUGCCAUCAAAGGAAUUUUGAGAGAGGUUCAAGUACUGUAGCUUUGAACAGUUGUAGAAAGCUUUUGGGAACUCUCCAGCAAAGUAGUUGUAGCUGAGAUCAAUGAGUGUGAGGUUCUUGAGAUCACAAAUGAAAGGUGGAACUGGUAGAGUGAUUUUCGUGUUGACCAGAGACAAUCCGGUUACGGAGUUGUUUGUGCAGGUGAUCUCAGGCUGCCAGGAACAGUGGGAAGUGUUUGAUGUUGAUGGAAUCCAAUGGCUGAGGAACGGUGGAGAUUGCAAGUAUGACUUUAGUUUUAGCAGAACAGCUUGUUCUUGGUCUUGCAAUGACUGAGAGUUGGCAUGGCUGAUGAGGAGGAGGGGGAGGAAGAGAAGGAAGCAGAGAUGGAUGUGGAGAGAAGAUGUUAGGGUUGGUAUAGUCAUUUGGUGAUGGAGGUUCAGAAGUUGGUUUGUUCCCGCGGCAUGAACUCUGGUUUUGAGGACAAGACAAGUAAGUUAGGGGAAGUUGAUUUCCUUAUAGUGUUGGAAAGUGGAAACUUCAAAACCAUUUGCAGGGCCACAAACAAAUGCAAGCUUUUGGCAAUUUGAGUGGAGGACCUGGAAAAUGAUGGUCAACGGAGACCAUUUAGUCUACGACCAAUUAGUGGAGGACCUGGAAAAUGAUGGCAAUUUGAGUGGAGGAACUGGAAAAUGAUUGUGCUUAUCCGUUAGCUCAGCUGUUAACUUAUUAUAUUUAAUUGUUUUUUUACAAGAAACAAGUUAUAUCAGGAGCCCAACCAGUUGACUUUUUGUUUUGUUUUGAUCAAAUGGGGGUUCGGGGGUUUCGAACUUGGUACCUCAUCCAGCGUGAGGAAGAGAAGUAGCACUAGACCAAAAGCUACUUGAUACCAGUUGACAUUCUAUAUAUGUUAUGGUUAUGGCAGCUAAGAUCCUCUCCUUCCUUCCUUGCCAAAGUUUUAAACUGCAAGAAAUUAUAUUGUUAAAGCCGCAAAUGUCUGCAGAAGAUAAUGCAAGUUUUCGAAUAAAACAAGGCAGGCUGAAAGCCAAACGUGACGUACGUGAAAGGCAAGACGGCAUUGAAAGUUCCUUCCCGGAAUGUCACGUGUGAUCAGAGAACGCCAUUGUUGAAUGAAGACCUGAUUUAUUGCUUUUUAAUUUUUAACGGAAGACUUUGAUCCCAUAUUAUUAUUAUUUUCAAUCGAAACAUUCUGAAGGGUAAGAAGAAUAACGGCAGCACGUCUGGUUUUCCACUGAUACAGACAGGGGAAGGAGAAAAAUGGAAAAUAAAAUUCCACUGGCAAAGAAAAGUUUCAGAGGUGUGACGAAAUGGCAUUAACUCAUGUGGGUGGGUUGUUGUCCUGACCCUAACACACUCACAUUUGUUUCUUUCAGUUCCAGAAGAUGCACAAAAUUUCAAUUCAUGUGGGCUUUUAACUUUGGAGAAAAGUUGAGUGAUGAUAUCAAAUCAAUGGGUUUUGGUGGAAAUAGAUUUGUAGUCAAAUAUAUUGACUGCAUUAUUUCUAGAAGCUGAUAGUGAAAAGCAGUAUGCAUCCAGAUGCAGUGUCACUUGUGAGCUUUUGAGUCAAAAACCAAGCGUCAAGGACCUUGCUGAUAACUUAAUAAAAUCAAAAAGUUCUUUAGAUAUUAAUUAAGGGAUAUGAUUUCCCCACUCCCCUUUUCUCCACCUACACUCCCUUUUGCUUGUUAAUACUUUUUAAUCAAUUUUGUUCAUUUUCUUUCCUAUUCUACCUUUACCUUGCUGAGCAGGCCUGUGAAUGCAAUCCCGAAAGUUGCCCCAAACAACCGCAGGCAAGAGCCCCCUCACAAGGCAGAAGAGCCAAAGUUGCAAGCAUUCACAGGAAAGAAGUAUACCCUGAAAGGGUGAAGUUAGGGCAUAUAGAUCCUUCAUCUAAAACAUAUGAAUUAAACACUUAGCUAAUAUGUAAAGGGUUAGGAACGGCUAUGGUUGAAAACUUGGAUAACAACACCCAGAGUGGGAGAAUCUGUUUCCUUUAUUAUUUCCUUGUUCUGAAUACCAUCAAUUAAAUUUUGAAGCAAGUGGAACUGUUAUCUUUUCUACUCCUUGUUCUCUGAUUCUUCCUUUUGUAAUUUUCAUACAUGAUUGGUGCUAUUAAAAUAAGGGAGAUUCACUAUUAUACCCAAUAUAUGAGCUGAAAUUAUUAUUUAAAAAAAAAAAAACCCUUAUAUGAAAUAGAUUUUAGAAAGACACCCAAAGCCUAUUUACAACAUAACAAAAAGGCUUUUAGCUUAUUUUAAAUUACAAAACUAUCACUAAUUUCUUAAAACAAACCCAACUCCAAAAUCUCAUAAAAAAACCCAAAACACCAAAAGGGCAUCAAAGUAACUUAAUAAUCAAAAUUAAAUUUAAUAGGGCCACUGUCAUUUUUUAGGUUUUUUCUUUUUUUUAUAGAAAUUAAAUGGUGUAGAGUUUAUCUAUAUUAUUAGUGCUAAGAAUGGGUACAUGACUAAAUAUCCCUUAAAAUAACAACUCAAUGUACGUAAUAAAUAUCUUUCAUACAUACAUUAUACAUAAUUGGAACCGUUUGGUUGUUAAGCUCAUUUAUCCUGGAUUGGAUUGCGUAAUAAAAUAGGGGAUGUAAACUGUGAGUAGUUUACUUUUGUUGCUUGCACUCUCAGGGAAUUAAGUUGCUUGCAUCUCUAAAUCUUCUCAAUGGUGGGGUGACUUUUGUUGAGCAUCGGAGCAAGAUAUGCAGAACCUCCUUCAUGGAAGGCCUAGCAGAAGGAAGUGUCUCGGUGCAAUAGAUGCCAAGUUUGAAAACGGAGCACAUUUCAUCCAAGUAACAAGGUUCUUUGAUGUCCUGGUCCAGAGCAUCGACAAGUGGGUAGUUUUCUUGAAAGUGGUGCCGCGCCCAUUCAGCAAGAGAAGUGUGUUCGUCGCCAUCAUUAGCUUCCCUUCCAGUGGUCAACUCCAGAAGGAUGACCCCAUAACUAUAUACAUCAAUCUUCUCGUUCACUCGUGUUGUGUGAGCAUAUUCUGCCAUCAGGUUAGAAAACCCGGUUGACUGAGAUUGCUAAUGGAAACAGAGGAAAAAUAACACACGUUUCUUUAGGAACUAGACUCCAACAUUUGUGGGGGUGUAAUGUUUACCUGGGGCAAUGUAGCCGAAGGAGCCAGCAACAGCUGACAGUGUAACAAGUUCUCCGUGCUUGACCAAGAUCUUGGCUAGACCAAAAUCAGCUAUUUUUGCAUUAAAAUCAGAGUCCAACAAAAUGUUACUCGAUUUCAUGUCUCGAUGCACAACGGGUGGCACACAGUCGUGAUGCAUGUAGCAGAGGCCCCGAGCAGCUCCCACUGCAAUCUGCAACCUCUUAGGCCAGUCCAGCACAACAUGGUGGACUGAACUCGUGAGAUUGGAUGGCCUGUUUCUCUUGUGAAGCCAUUGAUCCAGGCUUCGAUUCUCUGAGUACUCAUAGACAAGAAGUUUUGAAUUGUCCUUGGAUAUACAGCACAUCAGCUUCACUAUGUUGGCAUGUCGUAUGGAACUCAAUAUCUUGACUUCUGCAAGAAAUUCUUUUUCAAGCUUCUCUUCUAACUUCUUAUCUUUCCAAAUCUUUUUCACGGCAACAACAUCGCCUGUACGAUUGACAGGAACACAAUAAACUUUUCCUGAGUCGCCGCUUCCAAUCAUAUUACUUUCUGUCAAUCCUGAGAAUUUUUGACACUCUGAAAUUCAACCUCUGAAAUGCGGUGAGCUUCCAAUCAGAAUCCGAUCUGUUUCUCUUCCAAUAAGCUUUGACCAUGAAGAAUGAUAAGGACAAAGCCCACAAGGACAAAAGUAUGCCGAAAGUUAAGAUCAAUGCACGAUAUGUAGACGAAAUUUUGCUGGACUUUAGAGGUUGAGAAUUACAUAUGCUGAGUUUUGCUGAGGGGUUAGUCGCACAGAGACCUUGAUUGUCCAAGAAGCUUACGUCAUAAGCAGGAUUUUCAAAUUCAAUUGGGAUCUUCCCAGAUAGGUGAUUGGAAGAGAGAUUGAAGUUGCUGAGCGUCAGAUGCCCAAGUUGAGCUGGAAUUUGGCCAGAAAGUUGGUUUUCUGAAAGGUCCAGUGCAGUAAGGACUGGUAGAAACCCAAGUCCCGCUGGAAUUGGUCCAGAGAGUUUAUUUCGACUGAAAUUAAGAGUGUCGAGUGAUUUCCAUGAUAUAAUCUCUGAUGGAAGGAAGCCAGUAAGCUGAUUCUGAUCAAGAGAAAGAGUGAUUAAGCUAGGAAGAGCAGUAAGUUCCUGAGGGAUAGUACCGUUAAAAAGGUUAUUACCGGCGUCAAAAACCUCCAAGUUCCAGGAUGACACCCCGGUUGGAAUGUUACCUGAAAAUCUGUUCUCUCUUAUUUCCAGCCAUGUAAGAUUCCGAGACAUUUUCUCAGGAAGCUCACCGGUAAGAGAGUUGUUGCUCAUCAGCACCAGACUCAAUUUUGGUGCUGUCCACAUGCCACUAGGAAUGUUCCCAGACAAUCCAUUAUCAUGAACCCUCACUUCUGUUAAACUAGUGCAAUUUCCAAGAGAGCUUGGCAACUCCCCAGUGAGAUUGUUCUCAUAAGCUACAAGUGUUGACAGCUUAUCCCAAUAGCACAAAUGGUCUGGCAGUUUUCCAGUGAGCCUAUUCCCCGAAACCUCGAACCCUUCAAGCUCUGAAUACCUUCCAAAGUCUGGAGGCAAUAUUCCAGACAAAUUAUUGCUGAACACACUGAACUGUUUGAGAUUUGGUAGACGGCUAAUGCUUGCUGGAACCUCACCAGAAAGAACAUUAUAAGACAAAGCUAACCAUGUUAAGUUGGUAAGCUUUCCAUAAUCAUCUGGUAUUGGGCCUGUUAAAUGGUUUUCAGAAAGAUCAAUAACUUGCAAGUUCGAUGCUUCAACCACUUGAAGUAUGUCCCCAGACAGGCUGUUCCCUAACAAAUCCAAUUCUUCCAGUGCUGCCAUUUUACCCAGUGUUCCAGGGAGCUCUCCCAUCAGAUUCGAUUCACUUAUAUACAGAGUCUUCAACUUUUUCAACUGGGUGAAAUUGGAAGGCAGGUUCCAUGGCACAAGUUCUGUAUUGUAAGAGAGACUUAGGUGUUUAAGAUUGGACAAGUUACCUAUUUCUGGUGGCACGGAACCAUUAAAGUUGUUAAUAGACAGCUGCAGAUUCCUGAGCUCUUGUAACCUCCCAAUAGCCGCCGGUAUGUCACCAGAAAAGUCGUUAACGCUAAGGUCUAUGUAUUGAAGCCCAGGCAAGCUGUCGAUAUCUUUCGGAAUCUUGCCACCAAAGGAGUUUUGAGAGAGGUUCAAGUACUGUAGCUUUGAACAGUUAUAGAAAGCUUUUGGGAACUCUCCAGCAAAGUUGUUGUGGCUGAGAUCAAUGAGUGUGAGGUUCUUGAGAUCACAAAUGAAAGGUGGAACUGGUAGGGCGAUGUUCGCGUUGACCAGAGACAAUCCGGUGACAGAGUUGUUUGUGCAGGUGAUCUCAGGCUGCCAGGAACAGUGGGAAGUGUUUGAUGUUGGUGGAAUCCAAUGGCUGAGGAAUGGUGGAGAUUGCAAGUAUGACUUUAGUUUUAGCAGGACUGCUUGUUCUUGGUCUUGCACUGACUGAGAGUUGGCAUGGCUGCUGAGGAGGAGGAGGAGGAAGAGAAGGAAGCAGAGAUGGGUGUGGAGAGAAGAUGUUGGGGUUGGUUUAGUCAUUUGGUGAGGGAGGUUCAGAAGUUGGUCUGUUCCCGCGGUUUGAACAGUCUUGGUUUGAGGACAAGUUAACUAGAAUAAGUUCAUUUCCCUUCAUUUCUUUUAAUAUAUUUAAUUUUCUCACAAUUAGUUCACUCUUUUUCGUUUGUUAUUUUCCAUUCCAACACCUUUUUCUAUUUCUUUUCCACCUUCCAUCUUUCCUCGUGUUGUUCCCUUCUUGUUUUCCUGUUUUCCCCUUUUCUCAGACCACAACAACAAAAACAAAAAACAAAAAAACAAACUUUUAGUCUCCAUCGUUGGACUGAAGGCAUGGUCAUUGAUAAUGGACCACACUGCACCAGAAACGUCUGCAGAAGAUGAGGUAAGGUAAUAAAACAAGCCAGGCCAAAGCCAAAUGUGACGUGCGGGAAGGGCAAGAAGGCAAAACUUCAAUUGAAGCUUCACUGAAGGAGGCCAAUGGAAAAAUGUGAAGGGUGAACAAAGAACGCCUUUGUUUAAUGGAGACUUUGACCCAACAAAAGUUUAGAGUUUUGGUCCCAGAUGUUGACUCGAAAAUUAUGAAUGGUACUAAGAGUAAAGGCAGGUACGUCUGGUUUUUCACUGAUAUAGACAGGAAAGAAAAUAAAAUGAAAAUAAAAUUCAACCAGAAGGAAGAAUUGCAGAUUGUGACAAAAUGCCUUAGAAUAAAAUUAAACUCACCAGUCACCACUUGCUUUGAGGACGUGAUGUGAAUCACCUAAAAGAAGCGCACAAAACCAAAAACUAAUUGUUAGAAAGAGGCCUUGAGCUUCCUUUUGUAUAAUAGUAUAGUUCUAGGUAUGCCGGAGUAGUGCAUCAUUCUCUCCUUAUGCUCAAGUUUAAAUCCUCAUUUUUGUGUAUUAGAAUAAUUUAAAAAUAAUUUAGACUAUCAUUUAUAUAAAAAUUAGUAUAGCUCUGAAGUAUUCAAAGGGAAAAAGCAUACAAGGCAUACCCUUCAUCUAAAAAAAAGGAAACAAUAUUAUUUCCUUGUUUUGUUUUUGGUCUAAGAGGGAGAAACACUUGUGUGAAACGGGGAUCACAUUGUCUUACUAUCCUCGGUCAAUCAUGGACAUAUCAUGCGGGAUAACUUUUUCACGUGGCAGUCUGUGAUCGACAUGGAAUAGCAAAACAGUGUUAUCCCUGCAAGUUUUUCUGCUAAGAGGGGCCAGUCCUAGCAGAACAAGAUGGCCAUUACCUCAAGUAGUUACAAAUAAAGGAUUAUGAACAGCGAUGGUUGAAAGCUUGGGUAACAAGUAACAGUUGGAGAGAAUAUGUUUCCUUCAUUAUUUCCUUGAUCUAAUUUCCAUCAUCAAUUAAAGCAUUGUUUUUCUAACCUAUGGGUAUAAUUGAAAAACUAAACAAAUUUUACUUCUAAUUCCUCUUGUUGAACUCAACCAAGCUUAUCAAACAUUUGUUGCCGAACUACCAACACCGUCUUCCAGUAUCUGCUCGCGCUUCGAAUUCUUGAGCAGAGGAGCACCAACAUAAUCAGUAUUUUCUCUGUGAACUCCUGGAUGGCCGCAUCGGAGCAAGAUUUGCAGAACCUCCUUCAUGGAAGGCCUAGUAGAAGGAAGUUUCUCGGUGCAAUAGAUGCCAAGUCUGAAAACGGAGCACAUUUCAUCCAAGUAGCAAGGUUCUUUGAUGUCCUUGUCCAAAGCAUCGGCAAGAGGGUUGUCUUCUUGAACAUGGCGCCAUGCCCAUUCGGCAAGAGCAGUGUGUUCGUCGCUAUCAUUAGCUUCCCUUCCGGUGGUCAACUCCAGAAGGACGACCCCAAAACUAUAUACAUCAAUCUUCUCAUUCACACGUAUCGUAUGAGCACAUUCUGCAUUCAAGUGAAAAUAAAAUAAAAUAAAAUAAAACCUGUGAGAUUGCUAAUAGAAACAGAGGAAAAAUAACACAUAUUUCUUUAGGAACUAACUUUAACAUUUGUAGGGUGCAAGGUUUACCUGGAGCAAUGUAGCCAAAGGAGCCAGCAACAGCCGACAUUGUAGCAAGUUCUCCUUGCUUGACCAACAUCUUGGCUAGACCAAAAUCUGCUAUUUUUGCAUUAAAAUCAGAGUCUAACAAGAUGUUACUCGAUUUCACAUCUCGAUGCACAACGGGCGGCACACAGUCAUGAUGCAUAUAGUGGAGGCCCUGAGCAGCCCCCACUGCAAUAUGCAACCUCUUAGGCCAGUCCAGCACAACAUGGUGGACUGACCUAGAGAGAUUGGAUGGCCUGUUUCUCUUGUGCAGCCAUCGAUCCAGACUUCGAUUCUCCGAGUACUCAUAGACAAGUAGUUUUGAAUUGUCCUUGGAUAUACAGCACAUCAGCUUCACUAUGUUGGCAUGUCGAAUGGAACUCAAUAUCUUGACUUCUGCAAGAAAUUCUUUUUCAAGCUUCUCUUCUAACUUCUUAUCUUUCCAAAUCUUUUUCACGGCAACAACAUCGCCUGUACGAUUGACAGGAACACAAUAAACUUUUCCUGAGCCGCCACUUCCAAUCAUAUUACUUUCUGUCAAUCCUGAGAGAAUUUUUGACACUCUGAAAUUCAACCUCUGAAAAGCGGUGAGCUUCCAAUCAAAAUCCGAUCUGUUUCUCUUCCAAUAAGCUCUGACCAUGAAGAAUGAUAAGGACAAAGCCAACAAGGACAAAAGUAUGCCGAAAGUUAAGAUCAAUGCAAGAUAUGUAGACCAAAUUUUGCUGGACUUUCGAGGUUGAGAAUUACAUAUGCUGAGUUUUGCUGAGGGGCUAGUUGCACAGAGAUCUUGAUUGUCCAAG